rnacentral:rRNA from 1 species
AUUGAACGCUGGCGGCAUGCUUUACACAUGCAAGUCGAACGGUAACAGGCCGCAAGGUGCUGACGAGUGGCGAACGGGUGAGUAAUGCAUCGGAACGUGCCCAGUCGCGGGGGAUAACGCAGCGAAAGCUGUGCUAAUACCGCAUACGAUCUAUGGAUGAAAGCGGGGGACCGUAAGGCCUCGCGCGAUUGGAGCGGCCGAUGUCAGAUUAGGUAGUUGGUGGGGUAAAGGCUAACCAAGCCAACGAUCUGUAGCUGGUCUGAGAGGACGACCAGCCACACUGGGACUGAGACACGGCCCAGACUCCUACGGGAGGCAGCAGUGGGGAAUUUUGGACAAUGGGCGCAAGCCUGAUCCAGCAAUGCCGCGUGCAGGAAGAAGGCCUUCGGGUUGUAAACUGCUUUUGUACGGAACGAAACGGCGAGCUCUAAUACAGUUUGCUAAUGACGGUACCGUAAGAAUAAGCACCGGCUAACUACGUGCCAGCCGCCGCCGUAACAC